rnacentral:rRNA from 1 species
AACGAACGCUGGCGGCAGGCCUAACACAUGCAAGUCGAGCGAGGACUUCGGUCCUAGCGGCGGACGGGUGAGUAACGCGUGGGAACGUGCCCCUUUCUACGGAAUAGCCCCGGGAAACCUGGGAGUAAUACCGUAUAAGCCCUACGGGGGAAAGGAUUUAUCGGGAAGGGAUCGGCCCGCGUUGGAUUAGGUAGUUGGUGGGGUAAUGGCCUACCAAGCCGACGAUCCAUAGCUGGUUUGAGAGGAUGAUCAGCCACACUGGGACUGAGACACGGCCCAGACUCCUACGGGAGGCAGCAGUGGGGAAGUCUUAGACAAUGGGCGCAAGCCUGAUCUAGCCAUGCCGCGUGAGCGAUGAAGGCCUUAGGGUUGUAAAGCUCUUUCAGGGGGGAAGGAUAAUGACUGUACCCCCAGAAGAAGCCCCGGCUAACUCCGUG